rnacentral:rRNA from 1 species
UACAGAGGUCCCAAGCGUUGUUCGGAUUCACUGGGCGUGAAGGGUGCGUAGGCGGUCGGGUAAGUCUGAUGUGAAAUCUCACAGCUUAACUGUGAAACUGCAUUGGAUACUAUUCGGCUUGAGAGUUGGAGGGGGGACUGGAAUUCUUGGUGUAGCAGUGAAAUGCGUAGAUAUCAAGAGGAACACCAGUGGCGAAGGCGGGUCUCUGGGCCGAUACUGACACUGAGAAGCGAAAGCGUGGGGAGCGAACAGG